UCUAUGCAUUUUCCGUCGAAAGGAGCCUGAUCUCACAAAUGACAAAAGCUUUAUCCUCGGGCCUUCAGAGUUUCAAAUAAAGAGAGUGAGCACAGAUCUGAGAAAGUGAGAGAUGAGAGACACAGAGAGAAGGUCAGGAAAUUCUAACCCUCCGAACCAAGCUUCAUCAGAUCUAUGCCAAAGGAGAAGGGCUCAUACGGCCGAACAAUGGCAUUGGCUCUGUGAUCGGAGCCUUCGUUUUUGACCAGAUUCACGAGCAUGAAGAAAGAGAGAUUUAACGCUUCGAUGCGAUUCUUGUUUCGCGAGAUUUAACGCCUCGAUGGCCGCCAUGGCUUCUACGUCAGAGGUAGUCCUACUGUCCUAGCCGGGCGAGCACGAUCGGAUCCGUUCAAGAGCUUGUCGUUGAAAUGGCGUGGGAAUUAACAGCAACACCGGAGAUCUGAUGGGGCUAGGUCCUCCAUGGCAGCUUGCUCAAGAUGCGAUGUGCAUUGAUAGAGGCACUGACAGCUGGGCUUCCAUAUCUUUAAGGAAAUCUAAAACCGGAGGCUAGCAGGAUUUCACCUCAAAUUCCUUUUUUAUUUUUUUCUUUUGCUGUUUUGAUCUCAUUUCAAUGAAAAGAAGCCUGUACAAUAUAAAUCUUUUUAUUUGAGUGCUGCGGAUUGUAAUUAA